GUGUCAGCAGCCGCGGUAAUACAUAGGGUGCAAGCGUUGUCCGGAAUUAUUGGGCGUAAAGAGCUCGUAGGUGGUUCGAUACGUCGGAUGUGAAAAUCAGGGGCUCAACCCCUGACCUGCAUCCGAUACGGUCGAGCUAGAGUUUGGUAGGGGAGACUGGAAUUCCUGGUGUAGCGGUGGAAUGCGCAGAUAUCAGGAGGAACACCGAUGGCGAAGGCAGGUCUCUGGGCCAAUACUGACACUGAGGAGCGAAAGCGUGGGGAGCGAACAGGAUUAGAAACCCUUGUAGUCC
rnacentral:rRNA from 1 species